rnacentral:rRNA from 1 species
AACGAACGCUGGCGGCAUGCCUAACACAUGCAAGUCGAACGAGACCUUCGGGUCUAUUGGCGCACGGGUGCGUAACGCGAGGGAACCUUCCCUUAUGUUCGGAAUAACUCCCCGAAAGGGGUGCUAAUACCGGAUAAUAUCUACGGACCAAAGAUUUAUCGCCUUUGGAUGGGCCCUCGUUGGAUUAGCUAGUUGGUAGGGUAAUAGCCUACCAAGGCGACGAUCCAUAGCUGGUUUGAGAGGAUGAUCAGCCACACUGGGACUGGGACACGGCCGAGAAUCCUACGGGAGGCAGCAGUGGGGAAUAUUGGACAACGGGCUAAAGGCUGAUCCAGCAAGGCCGGGUGAGUGAUGAAGGCCUUAGAGUUGUAAAGCUCAUUUAACCGGGAUGAUAAUGACAGUACCGGGAGAAUAAGCCCCGGCUAACUCCGUG